rnacentral:rRNA from 1 species
UACAGAGGUGGGCAAGCGUUGUUCGGAAUUACUGGGCGUAAAGGGCGCGUAGGCGGCUUGUCAGUCAGACGUGAAAUCCCCAGGCUUAACUUGGGAACUGCGUCUGAAUACUACAAGGCUGGAGUUCGGGAGAGGGAUGUGGAAUUCCAGGUGGUAAGCGGUGAAAUGUGUGAGAUAUUCGGAAGAACACCAGUGGCGGAAGGCAGCAACUUGGUCUGG